GAACGCCGUAUGCGAGGAAACUCGCACGUACGGUGUGGAGCAGGGGAAAAGAUGGAGAUAAUAUCAAAGUUUUACCUAUUGCUAU
rfam:Salimicrobium flavidum strain DSM 23127 genome assembly, contig: Ga0111645_101